GGGACAGUUGUUAAAAUUUAUCCGCAAAGUAAUUACAGGUAUUUUGUAAAUCGAUCUAUUAUAGAGAACCGACAAGAUUUUGCAGCCAAAACACCUUUAGAAAUUUAGGUUUCAAGAUGAAAUUAGGAGUGAACUUUAGUAAACUAAAUUGAUUUUAUUUGGUAGAUGUGGAAUUGAUUUUAUUGUUUGUCUUUGCAGAAAUAAACUAAAUUGGCUUACUAACCGCUUUGUUUAGCACUUGUUUGGUGUUUUGAGAUUGUGCUCACAAUUUGUUUAUUUUUUUUCUCCCACCUUGUUGAACAACAAAGGGAAGGAGAAGUUCUGUAAAAUUUCCAGUUCUCCUUUUUCAACGUAAAACAAUGAUUAGUGAUGCAUGUUAUGCUAAGAAAUGGGCAAAUGGAAUUUUAACACGUGUAGAAUUACUUUUGGAAGUGGUAAGAAAGGGGAGGUGUUGGUAAGUUAUGCUGUUUAGCGAGAGAUGGCAAUUUGAUCCUGUUUUGAACCUGAAGGAGAAUCUCUGAUCUGCCAAAGGUAGCAGGGUGUGGAGGGUUUUAGGUUGCCCUGCCCUGCUUCAUUUUUCC
rnacentral:misc_RNA from 1 species